AGACCCGAAACCCGGUGAUCUAGCCAUGGGCAGGUUGAAGGUUGGGUAACACUAACUGGAGGACCGAACCGACUAAUGUUGAAAAAUUAGCGGAUGACCUGUGGCUGGGGGUGAAAGGCCAAUCAAACCGGGAGAUAGCUGGUUCUCCCCGAAAGCUAUUUAGGUAGCGCCUCGUGAAUUCAUCUCCGGGGGUAGAGCACUGUUUCGGCUAGGGGGCCAUCCCGGCUUACCAACCCGAUGCAAACUGCGAAUACCGGAGAAUGUUAUCACGGGAGACACACGGCGGGUGCUAACGUCCGUCGUGAAGAGGGAAACAACCCAGACCGCCAGCUAAGGUCCCAAAGUCAUGGUUAAGUGGGAAACGAUGUGGGAAGGCCCAGACAGCCAGGAUGUUGGCUUAGAAGCAGCCAUCAUUUAAAGAAAGCGUAAUAGCUCACUGGUCGAGUCGGCCUGCGCGGAAGAUGUAACGGGGCUAAACCAUGCACCGAAGCUGCGGCAGCGAACGUAUCACUUAAAGCGAUUCAGCGGGUUACGAUUGACGGAGCGAAGCGACGUCAAAGCGUAUACAAAGUCGAGUCGGUUUAAGGAUACGUUCGUUGG
rnacentral:rRNA from 1 species